CGCGUAGGCGGGAUGGCAAGUCGGUCGUGAAAUCCUUCGGCUCAACCGAAGAACGUCGGCCGAUACUGCCGUUCUUGAGGGAUGCAGAGGAGACUGGAAUUCCCGGUGUAGCGGUGAAAUGUGUAGAGAUCGGGAGGAACACCGGUGGCGAAGGCGGGUCUCUGGGCAUCUCCUGACGCUGAGGCGCGAAAGCGUGGGGAGCAAACGGGAUUAGAUACCCCGGUAGUCCACGCCAUAAACGAUGACGACUAGGUGUGGGUGUUCAGUCCACUCCGUGCCGCAGCUAACGCAUUAAGUCGUCCGCCUGGGGAGUACGGCCGCAAGGUUGAA
rnacentral:rRNA from 1 species